rnacentral:rRNA from 1 species
UACGGGGGGAGCAAGCGUUGUUCGGAUUUACUGGGCGUAAAGGGCGCGUAGGCGGCUCAACAAGUCACUUGUGAAAUCUCCGGGCUUAACCCGGAGCGGCCAAGUGAUACUGUCGUGCUAGAGUGCGGAAGGGGCUACUGGAAUUCCGGGUGUAGCGGUGAAAUGCGUAGAUAUACGGAGGAACACCAGCGGCGAAGGCGGGUAGCUGGGCCAACACUGACGCUGAUGCGCGAAAGCUAGGGGAGCAAACGGG